rnacentral:rRNA from 1 species
UACGUAGGGGCCUAGCGUUGUCCGGAUUUAUUGGGCGUAAAGGGCUCGUAGGUGGCCAACUAAGUCAGACGUGAAAUCCCUCGGCUUAACCGGGGAACUGCGUCUGAUACUGGAUGGCUUGAGUUUGGGAGAGGGACGCGGAAUUCCAGGUGUAGCGGUGAAAUGCGUAGAUAUCGGGAGGAACACCAGUGGCGAAGGCGGUUGCCUGGGGCUUUGCUGACGCUGAUGCGCGAAAGCGUGGGGAGCGAUCCGG